UACGUAGGGUGCAAGCGUUAAUCGGAAUUACUGGGCGUAAAGCGUGCGCAGGCGGUUCGUUAAGUUCGAUGUGAAAGCCCCGGGCUCAACCUGGGAACUGCAUUGGAAACUGGCGAGCUUGAGUGCGGCAGAGGGGGGUGGAAUUCCGCGUGUAGCAGUGAAAUGCGUAGAGAUGCGGAGGAACACCGAUGGCGAAGGCAGCCCCCUGGGCCGACACUGACGCUCAGGCACGAAAGCGUGGGGAGCAAACAGG
rnacentral:rRNA from 1 species